rnacentral:rRNA from 1 species
CAGCCGCCGCGGUAAUACAGAGGGUGCGAGCGUUAAUCGGAUUUACUGGGCGUAAAGCGUGCGUAGGCGGCUUUUUAAGUCGGAUGUGAAAUCCCUGAGCUUAACUUAGGAAUUGCAUUCGAUACUGGGAAGCUAGAGUAUGGGAGAGGAUGGUAGAAUUCCAGGUGUAGCGGUGAAAUGCGUAGAGAUCUGGAGGAAUACCGAUGGCGAAGGCAGCCAUCUGGCCUAAUACUGACGCUGAGGUACGAAAGCAUGGGGAGCAAACAGGAUUAGAUACCCCCGUAGUCCCUGUCUCUUAUAC